rnacentral:rRNA from 1 species
UGGGGAAUAUUGCACAAUGGGCGAAAGCCUGAUGCAGCAACGCCGCGUGCGGGAUGACGGCCUUCGGGUUGUAAACCGCUUUCAGCAGGGACGAAGGUUUUCUGACGGUACCUGCAGAAGAAGCACCGGCUAACUACGUGCCAGCAGCCGCGGUGAUACGUAGGGUGCGAGCGUUGUCCGGAAUUAUUGGGCGUAAAGAGCUUGUAGGCGGUCCGUUGCGUCGGAAGUGAAAACUCAGGGCUUAACCCUGAGCCUGCUUUCGAUACGGGCGGACUUGAGGGAUGUAGGGAGAACGGAAUUCCUGGUGGAGCGGUGGAAUGCGCAGAUAUCAGGAGGACACCAGUGGCGAAGGCGGUUCUCUGGACAUUUCCUGACGCUGAGAAGCGAAAGCGUGGGGAGCAAACAGGCUUAGAUACCCUGGUAGUCCACGCCGUAAACGGUGGGCACUAGGUGUGGGACCCAUUCCACGGGUUCCGUGCCGUAGCUAACGCAUUAAGUGCCCCGCCUGGGGUAGUACGGCCGCAAGGCUAAAACCUCAAAGGAAUUGACGGGGUCAUGAGCU